CAGAGGGUGCGAGCGUUAAUCGGAAUUACUGGGCGUAAAGCGCGCGUAGGCGGCUUUUCAAGUCGGAUGUGAAAUCCCCGGGCUUAACCUGGGAACUGCAUUCGAGACUGUCUAGCUAGAGUAUGGGAGAGGGAAGUGGAAUUUCAGGUGUAGCGGUGAAAUGCGUAGAUAUCUGAAGGAACAUCAGUGGCGAAAGCGACUUCCUGGACCAAUACUGACGCUCAUGUGCGAAAGCGUGGGGAGCAAACAGGAUUAGAUACCCUGGUAGUCCACGCCAUAAGCGAUGAGAACUGGAUGUCGGGAGGGUCUGCCUCUCGGUGUCGUAGCUAACGCGUUAAGUUCUCCGCCUGGGGAGUACGGCCGCAAGGUUG
rnacentral:rRNA from 1 species